UACGUAGGGUGCGAGCGUUACUCGGAAUUACUGGGCGUAAAGCGUGCGCAGGCGGUUUGUUAAGGCAGAUGUGAAAUCCCCGGGCUUAACCUGGGAACUGCAUUUGUGACUGGCAAGCUAGAGUAUGGCAGAGGGGGGUAGAAUUCCACGUGUAGCAGUGAAAUGCGUAGAGAUGUGGAGGAAUACCGAUGGCGAAGGCAGCCCCCUGGGCCAAUACUGACGCUCAUGCACGAAAGCGUGGGGAGCAAACAGG
rnacentral:rRNA from 1 species